rnacentral:lncRNA from 1 species
GGUGUAUGUAAAAAUUUCAUAUUUUAUUCAUAACAAUAAAUAAUGCCAUAAAAAAUUAUAACAAUUUUAUAAACAUCAAUUACAUGUUCUUUAAAGCUGUAAGAUCUUCAAAAUAUUUUACAAAAAAAUAGCAACAUUCGUCCUGUAUGUUGUACAAGAAUGUGAAACAAAGUACCCAAACAUUCUGUUGGGGAAAAAAGUGGUGUAAAGGAAGCAUAUUAAAACUAGUAAGACAACUUAGUCUAGCAUUGUCACUUGAACAAGAAUGACAGCUCUUGUUAUAAUAUGACCAGAUCUAUAGACUAUUAGUAAGACGGUAAAGGGCAGUGUAUUAUCCAGUGGCAAGUUAAAUGUAUAUUUAGACCAUGAACAUGUUAAUGUGGUAUCAUUAUGAACUCUGUUUUGAGGUAAAACGAACGCACUGAGCUAGAAUUCGAACGUGUUGGCCCACAAGGUUACAGAUGAAGACAUGACAUCCUACAUGAACACAUUAUUCAAAUUUGUAGCCUAAAAGUCUUUGUGCUUGCUCAUUAAUGCCACAUGCUUUGUGAAGAAGCACCAUAAUAAUAGAAAAUAAAUGUACUAAAAAAAUAUAGAUUUUUGCAAAAUGAUAUUCUAUUUUUUUAAGUUUUGUAAAACAUGAAUGUCUAUUUAAUAAUGACUGUGGUACAUGACUAAUGUCCAUUGGUCAAAAGUUCAAAUUAAAAAAAUUUUUUAAAAAAAAAGGUUUGAUUCGCCCACAAGGAAAAGCUAAACAGUCAGUUCUCACCUGCACAAAAAGAUCAUGCUGGUAUUUCAUAAUUUUUUUAAACAUAAAAAAGUACAAUAAUCUUGCAGUGUAAAAAAGAAAGAAAGGAAGGAUUAUAAUUUCAUCUUCAUAACCCCACAAGAAAUAAAAGGUGCUGUAGGCAAACUUAAAAGAAUGAUACCCCUUGUCCCUUGUAACUUUCAUGAGUUUUAGAUAUC